rnacentral:lncRNA from 1 species
CAUUCUUGAAGUCAGCGAGACCAUGAACCCACGGGAAGAAAGAAGCAGCUCCAGAUGCACCACCUUUAAGAGCUGUAACACUCACUGCGAAGGUCUGUGGCUUCACUCCUGAAGUCAGCGAGACCAUGAACCCACCAGCAGGAGGAAACUCUGGACACAUCUGAACAUCUGAAGAAAUAAACUCCAGACACACCAUCUUUAAGAGCUGUAACACUCACUGCGAAUGUCCGUGACUUCACUCUUGAAGUCAGUGAGACCAAGAACCCACAGGAAGGAAUAAAUUCCAGACACACUACUACUGUCCCUGUUCAUUAAUCUAUUUUUUUUGGCAAGAAAAUAUUGAUAACAGGCACUGUCCUGUGUGCUAGAGAUGGACAGAAUCAUGACUUUUGCCUUCAGGGCCUCACAGCUCAGUUGGAGAGCGCAACAUGACACCAGUUGAUUCCAGGGCAACACAAUUAGUGACAUAACAGAGACAGAUGAAAUGGAUUGCAGAAGCAGAGAGAACAUCCUGACUAAUUCAAUCUGCAAAUGGUGAAGAAGACCUUCCAGGGGUGAUGCUGUGAGCUGAAUUGUGUAUUAAUAGGAAUUUCUCGGUCCAACACACAGAGAAAUAAAGUUUUCUGUUGUUGUAAACUGUUCCUUACUAAUUAAAAACAAAGUGGUUAUAUUCUUGACCUCACUCUGAAUUUAAUUUUUUAAGAAUGUAAUCAUAAGUGAAAGCAAUUUUAAAUAUAGCAUUAUAGGGCACAGUAUUGAUAAAUGAGGGGAAAACUUUUUCUUAAAGAGUGUACCACUCACUUACCAUGCCCUGAAAUUAACUGAGAACUCAUUUGUCAAGAGAGCACCUACCCUAUAGAGAAUUCUUCCAAUUAACAUCAAAAGCGAUCAUUCUUAACCUCUCAUGCAUUAAGAAAAUCUUGUCUGCACCCAGUGUUCUGUGCAUAAUCAAUGAAGCCCCUUAUGUAUGUUAUUCCAAAUUUAUCACCCUGUAUAUUACUAAAAUGGAUGAAUUAAUAAAUGAAUCUGCUGUA